AAGCCAGCUAGCAACUCAAAGGAGGAAGACUAGAAGAUAUAUAGCCUUCUCCUUGUGUGACACUCAUAAAUAAACUGUUAGCAGCUUGCGAGCACUGCAAGAUCUUUCUGCUGGCAUCUGAAUAGUCAGCUGCUGGCAUCUAUCCGGGCACCUCUCGACCAGCCAGAGGCAGGUGAUUUUCAUUUCCCAUGCAUCUAUCCGGUCACUCUGCAUAGUAGUGCUCCUCUCUGUCCUUCUCAUAUCUAACUUACUCUCCAUGUAUGUGGCUCUCUAUUGAAUCUAUCUGUAAGUUCUCAAGCUAUUCCUUACUCCUGACAUGUUGUAUCUGUCUGGUUUUUUUUUUUUUGGAAACGGGUAUUUUUUUUCAUUGCCUUUCUGCAGAUACCUGAUCCCAAACUAGCUGGCCAACAUGGCGAACGAUGACCCUGUGGACGACGAAAACCCCAGAUCCAACACCACUAAUAACAGCAUCAAUGACAAGUUGGCUGAAGUGUUCGACAUGGUCUCAGUCCACAAACAUCAGUAUAAAAUGCCGACGUUCGCCUUCCACACCAACAAGACGAUCACCGAAGCUUUACAUCGGCCUCUACUGCGAGCACAAGCUAGCAUGGUCACAACCUCCUAGCCUAUAUAUGAACUGGUGUUAUCCCGACUGAACUUUUCUUUUUGUUGACACCUUUCGUCAGGCCUCUCCACCAGAGGUUGACUCGUAUGUCUGUUUUCUGGUUUCUCAUACCAGAAUUAACGUUCUUGACCUUGUAAGGCCUCUUCUUGACCUUGUAAGGCUCUCACUCUGUGUCUGCAUCCUUCUCGCAUCCCUUGUUUCCUUCUUUCCCACUACAUGCAGGAUCAGUCCCGAUAUUGCCGUGUUUGCCAGCCUUCUGCAUCCACCUACUUUCUGUUCCCUUCUAUCCCUCCUGAGCUAAUUGUUGCUCCUAUGUAAUCCGUGUUUAUUAUUUCGGUACCAUGAUGAUGAAAUUAGUUUUAAUU
rnacentral:lncRNA from 7 species